rnacentral:tRNA from 1 species
GGAUGGUUUCCCGAGUGGCCAAAGGGGACAGACUGUAAAUCUGCUGGCACUGCCUUCGGUGGUUCGAAUCCACCACCAUCCA